AUUUGAAUAAAUCAUUUCCGUUAUCGCUCGCUGUAACCAGGAAAGUCUAAAUUGAGUUAGUGCAUAGCGCUUCUGCCUGCGGGAUCCAGACACACCUUUAAGAUGGUCAGGUACCCCACAUCUAGGCUUCUUCAUCCAACUAGAGAAGAGAAGAACGGAUUCAUAUCACAGAGCCUGCCAGAUCAAGCUCCAUUCCUGCUUGGUGUCCGACAGUGAUGACGACUAACUGCAGCCUGUGCCAGCCAGAUACACUACAGUCUACGACGAUGGACUUCACAGAGGAUGAUCUAAUGCCAACUCCAACCGUAAGACAUGGGAUACUGCCUGAACCUUGGAUUUAGGAUGGACCUCACCAAAAUGACCUGCCAGUUGAACUGCGAUGCACCUCACUGAUCUCUGCCUGCAUCACCUUGGUCAAAUGAUGGAUUACACUCUUAGAAUUUAAUACAUAGACAAUCAAUUUUCAGACAUUUUCAUAAUCAAUCGUCAUGGAAAUGAAUGAUCAAUUAAUUGAUUAAUCAUUAAUGUUAAUAUCGUAAAACGUACGUGGAGGACUACAAAUAAUAUGUGUAUAUAGCCUACUGUUUAAAUAUAAUUUAGAUUAAUACACUUAAGAAAUGCAAGCACUGGCAUUUUCCUCUUAAAAUAUUCUUCGUUCAGUGUAUUUUAAUACAUUUAGGCUAUGAUUAGUAUGAAUUUGUGAAUGAUUUAAUUACUGUUAAUGAAUUACUGUUAAAAUAACUUCUAUCUUAAGAUAAUUAAGAUAUAUAACUUUUAUACCUACUUGAGUUCAUUAAAACUUCACUUUGUGGUUCCUGGUAUAUUCUGGACCUUUGGACUUAUUUCUUUAUUAGAAAUGAAGUCAAAUCAUAACACGCUGCAUUAACACAGUACAUAACAUAGGCUACAGCUUCUCUGGCGACUGUGAGAUAUCAUCUGAAUGGGUCUUCGUGCUUUCCCGGCGAUCGCUGAAAUAAUUGUAGGUUGGAAUGAAACAAGGAGAUCAUCAGUGCUUGUUGUCAUGUUGUACUUUAAUACUAGCCAGAGGGGAACU